rnacentral:misc_RNA from 1 species
GUAGGUGAACCUGCGGAAGGAUCAUUAACACGUGUAUUCCACGUAUUAAUCUCUUAAACUAACUAACUAUACUCGAUAUAGUAUACCACGAACUUCUCCCCAGUUGAACCAACCUCUUGCUGCCUCAGUAUGGCUGCGGUGGGCUGGGAGUCCCUCCGUCUUCGGACCGACAGACUCCUUGUCACGUCAUACAGAAGCUUGUCACUCCGGUCUUCGGAUUAGAGAGUGUGGCGGUAACCGGUAAGGCUGGGCAUAAAUUUCUGAGCAUGCUGUCACCAACCACCUUCGUGGGCAUGCUUGGAGAACCCCCCCGUAUUCACCAUAUUUUACCUAUUUGGCUAAUGUUUGGAUUGCGAGGAGACUUGGAGCUUGCUUCUUGUCUUCGGACGGAUCCUACUAAGAUUUAUCUUAACUAAGUACAACUCUUAGCAAUGGAUAUCUUGGUUCUC